CGCCAUCUCAGUUCACUGCAACCUCUGGCUCCAGGGUUCAAGAGAUUCUCCUGUGUCAGCCUCCCAAAUAGCUGGGAUUACAGGCACCCAUCACCACGCCUGGCUAAUUUUUGUAUUUUUAGUAGGGAUGGGGUUUACAAUGUUGGCCAGGCUGGUGUUGAAUUCCUGAACUCAAGUGAUCCACCCACCUCGGCUUCCAAAGUGCUGGGAUUACAAGCAUGAGCCACGGCACCCAGUCCCUUUUUUAAUGUAUAUAUAUAAAGGAAAUAAUAAUCAUAUAUUUAUAAAAUAAGAAAAUAACUGUAAAUAUACAUAUGUGUGUAUAUAUGUACAUAUAUAUAUCAUAAUGUGUGAUAUACAUAUGUGUGUAUAUAUGUACAUAUAUAUAUAUAUAUCACAAUGUGUGGCCUGAGGGAUACAUGAAGAGACUCCUCUGCAAUUUCAGGCUCUUCCUUGCUGCUAACUCAAGAAUUCACACAGACAUCCUGUUGGAACAUCUCAAUGAAAAUAUAUUGCUGAUUACAAAAAUACACCUCAAAUCAUACCAGAAUUGAUACACUUUGAAUGAAUAAACCUCACUAGCUCUCUGGGAAGCCAUCAAGCUGAAACCACAACAGAACAGAAAACAGCUCUGUGUGAAUGGGCAGGAAGGUGAAGGGAGUAAAGCCAGAGAGAGAAUGUGCCAGGUGCCAUAAUCAGUCAAGAAACAUCACAUGUCUUCUGCGCAUCAAUCUGCAUGAUUAUUCUCUUGUCUCAG
rnacentral:lncRNA from 10 species